rnacentral:rRNA from 1 species
GAUCCUGGCUCAGGAUGAACGCUGGCGGCGUGCCUAAUACAUGCAAGUCGAACGAGAGUGCUUGCACUCGAGUGGCGAACGGGUGAGUAACACGUAGGUAACCUGCCUUACAGUUUGGGAUACCCGAGGGAAACCUUGGCUAAUACCGGAUAAUUCUUUUGGAGGCAUCUCCAGAAGCUAAAAGGGGCCUUUAAAGCCUCGCUGAAUGAUGGACCUGCGGCGCAUUAGCUAGUUGGUGAGAUAACAGCCCACCAAGGCGAGGAUGCGUAGCCGACCUAAGAGGGUGAACGGCCACACUGGAACUGAGGCACGGUCCAGACUCCUACGGGAGGCAGCAGUAGGGAGUUUUCGGCAAUGGGGGAAACCCUGACCGAGCAACGCCGCGUGAACGAUGAAAGGUCUUCGGAUUGUAAAGUUCUGUUAUAAGGGAAGAAUGAUAGCUUGAGGAAAUGCUAGUUAUUUGACGGUACCUUAUUAGAAAGCCACGGCUAACUACGUGCCAGCAGCAGC